GCUCCCGGGCGGCGGUGGCACCACGUAGCCGCCUCCUUCCACCGCUCGCUUUAUCCCCGCCCCUUCUCGGGCCAACCCCAAGCGCCGCUGACCCCGAACGUCGCUGCGGGGUAGGUAGGGGGUGGGAGGGUGGAGGACCGCAGGCGAGAGGGAGAAGGAAGGGCGCCCGGGGAGCAGGCUGGCAGAGUGACCGGGAUUGAUGAGCGGCGCAGCUCUGGAGGGACGCGGGCGAGAGGGUCGCUCCUCGGGGAGAGGGCUGGUUUUGCCUUUUCCGGAAUGCCAUAUAUAAGGAAUCAUACAGUAUGCAGUCUUUCUUUCAAUUUUGCUGUGAAACUAAAACUGCUAAGAAAAUAAAGUCUUAAAAAGAAAAAUCAAUGGAGAAGGGAAAGGUAAGAUAACUAAUCAGUAAUUUGGAGGGGGGGGUGGAAAAACUAAUUGAAUUAUCUCAUUUCGUAUAUCCAAAAUAAGUUCUAUGAGGAUUAAGGAGUUAAAUAUAUUUUAAAGCAGACCAGAAGGAAAAAUAUUUGUCAAACCUCUGUAUAGAAGUAUUUCUCAACUUAGAGGCAAUAGAAGGAAAUAAUCAAUGGAUAUGAUUGGGUAAUAUCUUAAACACUUCUACGUGUCCAGCUUUUUUUAGUGUAAGCUAAACCAGAAAAAAAAUUGGCAGCAAACAUGAAAAAUAAAAACCUGAAUGUCUAUAUUAUAAGUAGGGCUCAUAGAGCUAUAGUAAAAUAUAGAAUCGCAGUGGUUGAGUAUAAACAGAAAAUAAAUCAUAUAAGAAAUAAAAUAUAUGGGGAAAUUAAUCUAGUAAUAAAUGAAGUAUACAUUAAAACUAAUAAAGAUACAAAAAUAAUGAGCACUGGUUAGCACAUACAUUGUUGGUGUCCUUAUGAAAUAAUAUGUCCAUUUGGAAAGCAUUUUGGCUGUAUAUAUCAGGUCAGAGUGCUCCUACAUUUUGACUCAGCAGUCCCUCUUCUGGGAAUCUACCCAAAGAAAUACCCCAGCAGAUGGAAAAAGUUAUACACUGCAAGAUGUAUAUCAUAGCAUUAUUUAUAUUGAAGACUUGGCCAGAAAUUAAAGAUCAAAGAGUAGGGGUGAUAUCCAAUUCCUUGUAGUUACUUGGACCACAAUGUUCCUUCACAUUCUGUGCCUCUGCACAUGUCAUUUAGAGUUUCUGCCUGGGGCAUUCUCCUUGUCUCUUGUCUGUGAGCUGAUUUCUCUUAUUCUUCACUACUUUUGUUCAAUGUCUCGGAGGCUCCUUCUUUAUUCCCUCAACACCCGCUGUGUUCUUCCAUCCCGGCACUUAAAGGCUGCCUGUAAGAACUUGUUUACCUACCUGUCUCCUCAAUCUGCUGUGACUCCUUCUAGGGUGUGACCUAACCCUUGGUAAUCUUAGAAUCACCAGAGCUCUGCAGAUAUGGCAGGUGCUUGAUAAAUAUUUAUUAAAGGAAUGAAUGAGUCAUUUGCUCACAGUUUUUACAGCUCUUGAAGAUACUGCUUAUAGAGUAUGUGGCAAUAUAUGGAUACAUUAUAAUGUUAAAUUUUAAAGGCACUAUAUAUGGAAUUAUCUCCAAGUAAUAUUGUUAAAUUUUAAAAACAAGGAACAAAAACAGUGUACACAGUAGGCUAUCAUUUUGUGAAAAGAUAAGCUCUGUUGGCAAAAGAAUAUCCAUACACAUAUUUCCUUGUUAAUGGGUAGGCUAUCUAUGGAAGAAAACGAAAUAAACUGGUAACAGCGAGUUAGGGUGGAAUGGGGGGCAAACUGGGGGACUAAAGAUACUGAUAGGAAGGAGACAUGUUUUAUUUUUAAAUAACCCCUUUAGUCUGUUUUUGAAAUUUGUACCAUGUAUAUGAUACACGUUUUGAAAAAUAAAGCAGUCUACAAAACGGUAUGCAGUUGUAUGAAAAAAAGUUAGGAGUUAAUUUUUGCCAAAUAAGAACAGUUAUAAGGCUGGGUGAUUUUGUUUUCAUGUUUCUGGUUUGCAAUUUUUAAGUGUGGUUAAAUUGCUUUUACAAUUAAGAAGAUAAAAUUAUACAUAAAGAUGUAAGAAAGUAACUAAGUAAUCAUAUUUAUUUCACGCAACUCCUUCACAACUCAAUAAAUGCUGAUCUAUUUUAAGGAGAAAAGGAGAAAAAUUUUCUGUCUGAAUACUGCUAAGGCCACCUCCCUUAUAACUCUGAGGUUGAAAAAUGGUUAAUAAGUUUAACUACUGACAAGUUAAUCAGCUCUUCAAGUGGCAGUGAAAACAGGUAAAGCGUGUUCUUCUAAUAGUUGCCUGGCUGAGGAGCAAGAUAUGACAACAGCGUUUUAACCUAAGACACCAAACUUAACGAGCUUGUCUGUCUCCACCUGUGCUUUAUUGUUCCUGCCCACCUUCCUGCCUCCCUCCUCUUGGGCUCUGUCAUUGUCUGCCUCUCUGCUCCUCUCUGUUUUUCUUUUGCUUCUCUGUAGCCGCCCUGCUGGUUGCCUCCACACCCCUCCUGCCGCCUUCCUCUCAGAACCCUAGCAGCUGUGUUCAGCGUCCCCCUCUUAAAGCAGCCACAUGCUCUGGGAAGACUGGCCCUCUGCGUCACAUCUGGCAGUCCCAUUCCUCUUGCUAAUGUGUGGUUCAGGAAUGGGCAGGUGGCCCAAUUCUGGUCAACAAGCCAUGAGAAGAAUCUGCUAGAGGUUUCCUUGCAUCUAAGAAAUGGUCUCUUUCGCCCUUGGACUUGGUUGGGUUUGGAUGUGAUGCCUCGAUCCUCUACAGCCUGAUGACAAAGACCACACCAAGGAUGGCAGAGUGGAAGGAUAAAAAGAACCAGGGCCUUCCAGCCUUUGUUGUAUGGCUGACUUAACCAACCUUGAAGGUGGCCUUACUCACGACUUCCUGUCAGAUGAGACAAAUUUCUUGGUUAAGAUACUUUGACAGGGGUUUUCCGUUUCAUACAACUGAAAGUAUCCUGACUUAAACACCUUUUGAGGUUCUGCCCCAAGCCUUUAUUGAUUUUCUCCUCUUGAAUCACCACCAGCAUUUCUGCAUUUCUCUUAGUACCACGUUUUUUCUAUUCCCCACACCCACCACCCCCUCUCUUCCCUAGCUGUUUCUGUCUCAAACAAUACAGGGAAACAUUUUAGGGUGUCUGACAGAUCACACCCACCCCUUUCUCAGACCUUCUCAACCACAAGGUGCUCUCCCACCUCCAGCGAGGUUUGUACUUCACAGUUGAUGGGGUCCCGGUAGAUUCAGGCUGGGCCAACCUGAGAGUCUGUCUCAGUAACAAAGGGAACCCUGCGCCCAGCUGAAGUGCAGGCAAUGUUUACCCGAAAGCUGGGGGUGGGUCCGCAUUUCCAGGAGGAAGCCAAGACUCUCCCUCAUCCUCUGCAGAAAGAGGAAGGAAGCCUAAACAGAGAAAAACAGUAGCAGAGUCUGACAGCCUGGGUGCUGUGUAUGGUUGUGCAUUUUGUGCUCUGAAAGGCUCCCAUCCCUGCUAAAGGCCUGCUUCUAGAUUUAAAGAGGACUCUGUCUUUGAGGUCUAUGAGAUUUUUAGAUGGAAUCAUUCAUCACAUCCCAUUUGGGCUUUAGAUACUUUGAAGUGAGUAUCUCAAAUUUUCAAAUCAAAGAACCCUGAUUAAAACAAAAGGUCUUCUCACCUCAAAUCCUUUAUGAAAUGAGGUCAACUUAAAAUACUUUUUAGUUAGCUAUGAUAUAAAAUUAAACUAUAUUUUUGUUAUAGUUAAUGAAUUAAUAUUGUAUCUUCUGUUCCUUAGUCGAAAAGUGAGCAGUUAAAUGGUCUAUUUCUCUAACAAAACAAUUAACUGAUUCCUCAGGAUUUACCGCCCACUGUGACCCUCUUGCCCUGUGCCCACACAUACCUACUAAAGACCAGUUUUCAGAUCCCCAGGAAUAACAUAAAAUGGGGCAUAUCUGUCUCGUAAAUAUGAUUGAAUAAGCAUAUGUAGAGCACAGUUGUUUCACUUUUAAGAAUCAAUUAUAAUCAUUUGUACAAUAAAAUGAAUUAUGU
rnacentral:lncRNA from 1 species